UUUAGGAGGGGCGAAGCUCCUCUUAUUGUGAGGGCGAGUUUAUAUAACACCAUAGGACUGGCCGUCCCAUAUGAAAAGAUUAUAUUAGAAUUGAAUGAAGCUUUGUUUAUAUAUUGAUAAUGACAGUAUAUAUAUCGUGUCUUGACUAAUUGCGUGCCAGCAGUCGCGGUAAUACGUAAGAGACUAGUGUUAUUCAUCUUAAUUAGGUUUAAAGGGUACCCAGACGGUCAAUAUAGCUUAUAAAAUGUUAGUACUUGACUAGAGUUUUAUGUAAGAGGGCAGUACUUGAGGAGGAGAGAUGAAAUUUCGUGAUACCAAAGGGACUCUGUAAAGGCGAAGGCAGCCCUCUAUGUAAAAACUGACGUUGAAGGACGAAGGCACAGAGAACAAACAGGAUUAGAUACCCAAGUAGUCUUUGCAGUAAAUGAUGAAUGCCAUAGGUUAGAUCGGUGGGCUCGUCUAGUUGAGUUAGUUUAGCAAACUAAUGAUCUAGACGAGCCCACCGUAUAUUUGGUCUAUAAAUGAAAGUGUAAGCAUUUCACCUCAAGAGUAAUGUGGCAACGC
rnacentral:rRNA from 1 species